UAACUCUGCAUACUUUCUACAGGGGCUUGGAUUUUAGUUCCCUAGACUUUAGUUUCUUCAUUCAUAAAACAGGGGUGAAGGAUGAGACUGUCUCUUAAAGCUUUUCAUUAAUUCCACAACGUCCUAGCUGAAUUAAAAUGCCAUGACCUAGAGGCAGUGAUCUCCAGAAAUCCAGUUCCACAAUUCAACUACUCUUCCAUGAGUGGGACAAUGGUGCCUGCCGUUACAGUGUUUCUCCAGCACAGAUAGAGGAGCAGAAUGGCUGAUAAUAGGACCCUCAAACAGCUGCUGAAUGAGGCACUUCAAGUAAGAAGGGCAAAGGAAAUAUGCAGCAAAGCAGGGCUUCAAAGAAGAGAACAUCACUGUGAAUUGCAGGGAAACAGCAGAGGCCCAUAUUCCCCUGCCAGUAUGCGGAAUUCCAGGUAAAGGAACUACUAGUUCUCGCUGAAGGUGGAACUGGAUACUGAAAGAUGUGCAGGAGUUCACAAGACAGAAAAAUGGACAAGACCAUCCCAUGUUGAGAAAUCAGUUUAUGGAAAUGAAUAAACACACAUUCUCAGAAUA